rnacentral:lncRNA from 1 species
CACAGGCUCCUUCAUCCUGCCACUCUUGGUCCUUAACCUGCAGCUUCCAUCUCACGGACACCUAGGGAUGCUGCAGCUCCUGCCAUCUCAUCUGCUCUCUAGGACGCCCUCAGCACAUGUUGCUGUUGUUCAGCAUGUGUUGUCGGAGUCACAUGGCGCCAUUUCUGCUGAAGUCCUGUCAUCCAGAAUUUAGUCACCGGCCGGCCAUCUGAGCUUCUGGGAGUGUGAGGAGAUAGCGUUUACCUUCGGAAUGUGCAGACUGAUGUGUGAGCAGUGGCACUGUUAUUCCAACAUGGAUCUUUGAAGAUUGUUGGCAUCAGACCCACUGUAAGACCCGAAGGUUUUCGGCAGCAGUUUGGGGUCGAGGUGCAACCCGUCAUCAAUACGGAUGCUUCUCGAGUU